rnacentral:rRNA from 1 species
UUGUCCUACGGGAGGCAGCAGCAGGGAAUCUUCGGCAAUGGGGGCAACCCUGACCGAGCAACGCCGCGUGAGUGAAGAAGGUUUUCGGAUCGUAAAGCUCUGUUGUAAGAGAAGAACGUGUGUGAGAGUGGAAAGUUCACACAGUGACGGUAACUUACCAGAAAGGGACGGCUAACUACGUGCCAGCAGCCGCGGUAAUACGUAGGUCCCGAGCGUUAUCCGGACUUAUUGGGCGUAAAGCGAGCGCAGGCGGUUUGAUAAGCCUGAAGUUAAAGGCUGGGGCUUAACCAUAGGUUGCUUUGGAA